rnacentral:lncRNA from 1 species
UGAUAAUCACGGUUUUCGCGCUAAGACCUUGCUGCUUCUUGUUCAGACCAGCACAAUGACCAAGAGGGCUUCCACAAAGACCUGCAUUGCCUACAAAAGCAUCAGCUUGCCAUUUAGAGAACUGCUUCUUCAACUUCCCCUCGAGGUUGUUGUAAGAGAGGUUGAGAUACACUAAGCUCUUCAUGUCCCCGAUCUGUCCAGGAACAACUCCGACAAGGUGAUUGUGAGACAGAUCAAGUGACUCAAGCUUAUGUAACGUCGAGAUCGUAGAUGGAAUGUCUCCGGUGAAGUUGUUGUAGCUGAGAUCUAAAGCACUUUGAAGAUCCUGUAGCUGUCCAAUCUCAACAGGAAUUUCUCCGGUUAAGAUGUUUCUUGAUAACCGGAGCUCAUAAAGCUUGCUCAGCUUGCCUAUUCCUGAAGGAAGCUGACCUGAUAUCUGAUUCUUUCCGAGGUUAAGUACAUUGAGAGAUUCCAAGUUUCCAAUCUCUUGUGGGAUCGAACCGUUGAGUGAGUUUCCAUCAAGAGAUAGCACAAGAAGCUUUGUUAAGUUGAAAAUCUCCUUAGGGAGUGAACCGGUAAACUGAUUGGAAGAAAGCUUGAGCUCACCCAAGAGUGGAAGCUUCCCAAGCCAUGGAGGUAUAAUCCCUGAAAGAAAGUUAUCGUUGAUAUCAAUGUGUGUCAGCUUCUUGCACAAACCUAGCUCUAACGGUAUGUUUCCUGUAAGAGAGUUGCUUGAGAUAUCCAACAAAGAUAACUCAUGAAUCUUCCCAAACGUCCAAGGGAUUCUUCCUGUGAACUGAUUCUUCCCUAACCUUAACCGGUCGAGACUCCGAGACUUCCCUAGCUGAAGAGGUACAUCUCCCUCGAAUUCGUUAUCCGUGACAUCAAAAGAGAGAUAAGAGCUUGAACCGCACAACGGACUGAUCGAGCCAUUGAGCUUAUUGCUUGAGAAGUUGAUCCUUGUGAGAUUCUUCAGGUUGAUGAGCGAACUAGGAAGACUCCCCUGGAGAGAAUUGUUGUAAAGGUGCAACUGUUCUAACGACUUCAAGAACUCGAACGAGGAAGGAAUCGUACCCGAGAGCUGGUUAUCAGCUAAAUCAAGAAUCGUCAGCUUGUGACAGUUACCUAAAGUGGCGGGAAUGUUACCAACGAACUCGUUCUCUCUCAAGUGAAGCAGAGUAAGGUCAUCUAAUCUCCCAAUAGAGGAAGGAAUCUCUCCACUGAAAUGAUUCCCAAACAUAUCAACCGACUUCAGACUCGUGCAGUUCCCAAUCUCGGUCGGGAUUUCACCGGAAAACCGGUUCUCGUAUAGAUACAGAACUUCUAAUUUGCUGAGGAAACCGAUUUCGUUAGGUAACUUCCCCUCCAAGUCAUUGUGAUACAGAGCAAGCUCUUGUAGAUUCCUUAGGCUAGAUAUUGGGUGAGAUAACGUACCCUUCAAGGUAUUGUUGUUAAGAUAUAAAACCGUGAGUUCAGCGAGCUUGAACAAUGAAUCUGGGAUUCGUCCGGAGAGCGUGUUGUUCGACAGAUCAAGCGCUUGUAAUGACUGACAUUUGCUAACUUCCGCCGGGAUUUCGCCGGAGAGUUGAGUUCCAGACAAAACCAGUUGCUUCAAGCUUGUGUUGUUAGAGCACAAGCUCUUUCGUAAGGAACCAGAGAGACGGUUAUUGGCUAGAACCAAAUCUUCAAGCUGGUUCAUAUUCCAGAACUCUUCGUGUAUCUCUCCGGUGAGAUUGUUGUUGGACAAAUCAAGGGUUUGAAGAUUCUCCAAACCGGUUACUCUCUUUGGAAUCGGACCUUGAAGUCUGUUACCAACCAAGUUAAGGUAGUGUAGAUGGCGCAAAUCACCGAAUUGGCUCGGAAUCUCACCGGAGAAGCUGUUGUUUCCCAAAUUGAGUAUCUGGAGGUUUCCGAGUUGACUCAGCUCCGUCGGUAAAGACCCGUUGAGGCUAUUCAACGCCACGGUGAACAAAACGAGGCUGGUGCAGUUUCCUAACUCGGGCGGAAUCGGUCCUUGGAGGUAGUUUUGUUGUAGAAUUAAGGCUUGGAGGUUAACGAGUCGACCGAGUUGACUCGGUAUUGAACCGGUGAGUCUACACUUGGCCAAUGCGAGCGUCUGGAGAUUGACGAGGUUACCGAACGUAUCCGGGAUUGAUCCGAUUAGGUCGUUGUCUCCGAGUUUUAACGACCUGAGGUUCACGAGUGAGCCGAGUUGACUCGGUAGCUCGCCGGUGAGUUGGUUAGAGAAGAGAUGCAAAGUUUCCAAGGAGGCGGAGAGGUUGGAGAGAGCAGUUGGGAUGGGACCCACGAGACUGUUGGAAGAUAGAUCGAGGUGGAUUAGGUUACUAAACCGGCCAAUCGAAGGAGAGAUUGAACCGGUUAAGUCAAAAUCAGAGAGAUUUAAACCGAUGACGACACGACCACGGCACGUGACACCGGUCCAGUUGCAGUAAUUGAGAUCAUCUGAAUUCCAGUUUUGGAGAACCUUUUCGUCUUCUGGGUUUAUCACAAUAGACUUCUUCACUUCGAGAAGAGUUUGAAGAUCGUCACUUUGAACCGGCUGACCCAAACCCGGCCCGAUCGAAAACCAGAGGACGAGCAACACAAUAAGAAGAGAACUUUGCUGCAUUUUUUUCCCUUCGUUUUUCUUCUUCUUCUUCAGAAACAAGAGACGUAUGAAAGUGAAUGAAGUAUCUUGAGUUUCUUGUGGUGAUUAGUGUGAGACUAGUGUUGGAAACAUAGAGAAUUUAAGACAAUUGUUGGUCCCUUUGGUUGAAGACGAAUGAUUGGUCGUAAGAACGGUGCAUGGGGACUCUCUCUCUCUAUCUAUCCAUCUAUAUGACAUAUAAUCUGAGCAUAUGUUUGUGUAUAUAUAUAUAUGUUUAAUGUGGUGAGUUAGAGGAGAAGUUAAUGCAGAUAAAGCUAGGGAUGGGGGUAUAAGUUUAAAUCUAUAUAGAUAUCUAUACUAUUGAUCCCAUUGUCAUAAUUACCUUAGGGUCAUGUUUCAUUCACUAACAUUGCAUGUUUCAUUAAGGGCAAUUAAGUAAUAUUAAUAACAAAUCUAUAUUGGGUCAUUAUUUUUGGAUCCAGCCCAAAUCAAAUCUCUCUUGGGCCAUUUGGGCCUAUUAAAAAAUCAGAUUCAAUUCUCACCUUUUUUUUUCCUUUGGACCAUUGAGUCCAAGUUCAAAUAAUUUUUUUUCAACUAUUCUUAAUUAUUAUUUUUUUCUUUUCUUAAUAUAAUUUAAGCAUUCAUAAAAAUAAUUGAAUUUUUUUAUUGAAAAGUAUAAAUCUUUAUUAAAAGUAUAUAAUUUUUUAAUUAAAAUAUUAACCCCAUAAUAAAAUUAAUUUAUCAGAGUUAUACCAACUUAAUUCAUUAAAAAAAUAAAGUUUAAUUUUUUUAACAUAAAUAGUCAUUUAAAAUGAAAUACGAUAAAUAAAGAUAAAAUUUUUAAGUCUUUUAUAAAAUAAAACACAAAUAUAUGAAAAUGUGACAUUUACUAAAUAUUUGUCAAUUGAAAAAAAAAACAAAAAUAAACCCGCGCUUUGAAAGCGCGGGUCAAAAUCUAGUNNNNNNNNNNNNNNNNNNNNNNNNNNNNNNNNNNNNNNNNNNNNNNNNNNNNNNNNNNNNNNNNNNNNNGCUUGCCAUUUAGAGAACUGCUUCUUCAACUUCCCCUCGAGGUUGUUGUAAGAGAGGUUGAGAUACACUAAGCUCUUCAUGUCCCCGAUCUGUCCAGGAACAACUCCGAUAAGGUGAUUGUGAGACAGAUCAAGUGAUUCAAGCUUAUGUAACGUCGAGAUCGUAGAUGGAAUGUCUCCGGUGAAGUUGUUGUAGCUGAGAUCUAAAGCACUUUGAAGAUCCUGUAGCUGUCCAAUC